rnacentral:rRNA from 1 species
UACGUAGGGUGCGAGCGUUGUCCGGAAUUAUUGGGCGUAAAGCGCACGUAGGCGGAUCUUUAAGUCAGGGGUGAAAUCCUGGAGCUCAACUCCAGAACUGCCUUUGAUACUGGGGAUCUCGAGUCCGGAAGAGGUGAGUGGAACUCCGAGUGUAGAGGUGAAAUUCGUAGAUAUUCGGAAGAACACCAGUGGCGAAGGCGGCUCACUGGUCCGGUACUGGACGCUGAGGUGCGAAAGCGUGGGGAGCAAACAGG